rnacentral:tRNA from 1 species
GUUUGAUUAGCUCAGUUGGUAGAGCGAUCGACUCAUAAUCGAUUAGUCACAGGUUCGAGUCUUGUAUCAAACCCCA